GCCCCGGGGCUCCGCGCCCCUGGCCCGCGCCCCGCGCCGCGCCUGGCCCCGAGCUCAGGCCCCGGCUCCCCGGCCCGGCCGCCCCGCGGGCCCCUCGCAGAAGUUUUGAUCGUCUUCGAAACAAAUCCCUCUGCUCCACCCCCUUGAAAAAUUGAUUUGGGAGUUGGGGAGCGAAGGCUUUCUUUUUUCUCCUCUGCCUUCUUUAUUAUUAAUAUUUUGUAAAGCUCCAGCGCUACGAGGAGUGGCCCCGAGCGAGGCCAGACUGCGCGGACGGCAGGGAGCGCGGCGGCUCCGCCAGGGGACGGCGCCGGCCGGGAGUGGCCGCUUGGGAACCCCCGACUGUCGGCCGAGCCUGUCUGGAACCGGGAGCUUCCCCAGCUGAGGACCACAGUGAGAGCAGAGAAGACCCAGGAUCGUAUUUGAAACCAUAAAAGCCACAUGAAGACACUAAGAAUAACUUGCAGAAAGACAUUUUCUAUGAAUUGAACACAGAGUCCCAAAACCCAGAAAGUUCCCUGGUCUCUAUCUCAUGGGCCCGUGUCUGGGGAAGGGGGCCCGAUGUGAGGCUGGGGCCAGUGCCCAUCCUAUUUGAUCUUUAUCUUAAAUCCACUUCAAAAUGCUGUGGCUUGGUGGAUUGAAGGUUCGCCCCUUCCUGUAAUUAUUUGGUGUCUGGUAAAGUUUUUAUGAGUGUUUGUGCAAA
rnacentral:lncRNA from 1 species